rnacentral:tRNA from 1 species
GUGGCUGUGGCUCAGUGGCAGAGUGCUUGCCUAGCAUGUACAAGGCACUGGGUUCAAUCCUCAGCACCACA